rnacentral:lncRNA from 1 species
AUUAAGUUAUCAGAAUAUGGUAGUUGAAAAAUAAAUCUACCUUUAUUGGUUUAAUUCAGAGAUCUAAAGUUAAGGUGUAACAAUAGAAUACAACUCACUAAUUUUAGUGUGCUUACCACCUUCAUCAACAUGCUUUGACUUGGAACUUAAAAGUUUCAACCUUUUUUGGGUUAAAAAUUUCAAUUACUUUAGCGAUUCCUGAUUCUUGCACUUUUUGUUCACAUGAUUUUUACAUUUUUGUUUUACGUUCUAUAUAAGGCCAAGAAAAUUUGUUAUAUGCAUUUGGUUUACCUUGGUUUUCUCCGCGAAAAGAGCUUGGGUUCUCUGUUGUGCAAGGAUACCUUGUAUUCUUAUAAUAAGUUCGUUCUCAGUUUUUCACAACUUCAUUCUAUCACGCGUCAGUAUGUGCUUAGUAUUUUUAUCUUUCAGCUGGUCAUUAUGAAGAAUGAGAAUUUCGUGGGUGGAGCUAGAAUUUUCAGUGGAUGUAAAUUGUCAAACCAAUAUGAAGCUAUAUAUAGAAGGUUCAGAUGGUUCUUAUAUCGAAACAAAUGAGCACACUGAUUUAGCUUCAUAGGACGAUCACUUGGUUUUUGUUAUAGCCAGACAGAGGAUAUAUUGGACCAUUUUCAAAGUCUACUAAAAACAAUCUAUUGCAUACAAAGCACAUUCAAAGCCAAAUUUUUUACAAACUUUCCCUUCUCUACAAUAGAACUUUUUUUCCCUCUAUUUUUCCAAAAUAAACCUAGAAAUACACAGAUAGAAAUAGUUAUAACAUACCUGAUAGAGGUAGUGAGGAGGAAUCCAACAUCAAGGAAAAAUAAGAUACAUAUUAUCUAGAUGUAAUACAAUUCUUUUGAUAUUGUUAUAUCAUCAAGGUGCCUUGAAAUACAUAAAUGGAAACAUUAAUAUACUUGAUGUCAGCAUCUCUUAGAGCUAACACAUAACCCCAAUCAGCACCGCAAGCACACAUGUAGUUACAACAACAGAUCAGAUGCAAACUAUAUCUAAAUUAAAAAAUUGCAUACGAAAUCUUAUAAAAGAAACUGAUUUAGGAAAAAUUUUCAAGGGUAUUCUCAGCAAGCUGUAAGAAGAGAAGUAGAGUUCAGAAGCUGGACUCAAACUGAAGCAAGCAAAUGUAGGUGACACCAAAUAAUCCACAAGUUAGUUUUCUUAUUUGGUGGAGAAACAUUAUAUCAUUUGUAAAAGUGCAUGAGAGAUUUUUUCUGCUGAAAUGGACAAAAACAAAAAGUAUAAAUUCCUAAAACCUAGAGUCAUUUUUAAUGCAAUAUAGAACAAUACUCUAUUGUAUUGAUGCAGAGGACUAACUGAUAACAUGACCAAACAAAUAACAAAAGCUCACUCCAAAGAUAUAUUAAUCCAGAAUCAACAAAUAGGCUCCAACCCGCUGCGCCAUGUUCUUUCCCUAAACCAAAAGAAAUGCAUGUCAUCUAGAGAAAUGUAACGGCUACUCUGGUUAUCCAUUUGGAAUUGGAACAAUUGGAAAGAAGAAUCUAGAAAAGCAGUGGCAAUAAUGAUGAAACACUUUUGAGCUAUUAAAUAAUAUUCUUGAUGAAAACUUGUGAAAAUGCCAAAAACAAAUGCGACAUACCUGAGUUUUUAACUUCUACAAUAAACUGUGCACUCAGACUAACACAUAGUUCAACUUCUAUUUUUCGAUUAUUGAGAUUGGAGAUGGAAUAAGUGUUUUCUAUCUCAAAGGACACAUCUAGAAGUGAUGGUCUUGAUAGGGUAUCCAAUUAUCACUACGAGUUGUAGAUAAAGAUCUCAAAGUAGCUAAGAUUUGAUAUUACUUAUAGAUAUAUUUCUCUUCUGCAAUCUGAAGUAAAUUUCCCGGUUGAAAUCAGGCGUGGAAUAUAGGAGGACAUAAGUCAUGCUUCUUUAGCCUUGGACAAAGUGCUCAAUUGUCUGAUAAUAAUACUACUUAUAAUUAUAUUAGCUCAUUGCGAAAUAGAUGUUGGAAUAACUGAUUUUUGGUAUAUAGUUGUGAUGACUUCAUUGGAUACUUCGUAAUAUUUGCUUUUUUCUAUGUUAGCCUCUUCAAAUUAUUUUGCUACUUUCCCUGACGACAUGGAUGAACAUGUGUCUCCCUUUGUGUAUAAGUUAUGUGUAAAAAUUGGUUAUUUACAUACAAGAACUAAUUUAGCAAAAUUUUGUUAUUCCACCAUCUCCGACAAAAGGUCAUUUACUUUUUUACUUGCUAAUUCUUCCUCUCGGUUCAUUAUGAAUUCUUAGAUGUGCAACAAUGAAAUCACAUAUCAGUCUAUAGAACCAAAAAAUCUCAGGUCUAUUGAUAGAAUUUCAACAUUUUCAUCUUGUCAUAUCAUUACUUUCAGCAAUUGAAUUGCUUAUGAACAGAGAUGGCAGCAUCAACUUCAGUGGAUUAAUUGUGACAUGUUGUGAUCAAGUUGAAGAGUACAUAUGUUGCUGAAGCUUUUCGAAAAAUAAUAGAUAUAAGCUCCCCCCCUACAAUUUCAUGGCAGUUAUCUUUGUUCUUUCUUUUUCAUUUCAUAUGUUAGAUUUAUAUACUAACUGAUGCAUUCCGUUGGUGUGUAAUAGGAGUUUAUGAAGUGUUGUUGGAAAUAAAUAAUGGUUGUCCAAGAAAGACUUGGAAGCCUAGAUUGUACCUUGGAGUAAAGAGUGCUUAGGGUCCUUUUGGAUUUCCAAGUGCAAUGAACAAAGCCAUAAGUGAAAAUGCAUUGUGGAACUUAGUUUGCUCUGCAAUACUGCGUGAUUUUUGUACAACAUGGAAAAAAUUGUUCAAGAACAAUGGAGGUACUAGAGUUUUAAAAAAAAAUGGUAGUUAACUGAGCUAAGAAACUAGAGUAAUUUAGAGAAUAUGUGUGAUAAAGUUUGGCAGGAAGCGGAAGAGAGACAUGGCUACUUGGUCUAUAUAUUUUAAUCUGUUCAAGAUGCAUAUUUAUGACUUUUUAAAGAUCUAUUUGGCCAUUGUAACAUUCAAGUUGGUU